GAUUAUACCUUUAAAGAUAGAUAUGCAGAAAGCCAAUUUAGCUAGUGUUGAAUUUAAAAACAUAAACGAAGCAAACAAUUUUCUAGAUUUGUCAGAGAAAGAUCCCGAGAAACUCUUCAUUGCUUUUAUUGAAAAAAGAGUUUCCACGUGCAAGGGAGUAAUUACAGACUGGCCUUUUAGUAUACAAGAAAUGUGGGACAAUCUAAUAAAGAAAGAUGAUAUACAAAAAAUAGAACGCAUGACUAAACGAUCGUGGGACCAAGCAACUAAUAAAUAUAAUAUUAAACCGUUAAAUAAUAUAAUUAUUACCAUGAAAGGAGAUAAAAUUAAGGAAAAUUUAAAAGUAUAUGAUAACUUCACUUUUAGCCUAAGAGUCAGACCGUAUGUCGAACCUGUAAUGCAAUGUUUUCAAUGCUUCGGAUACGGACAUAUGAAAUUUCAAUGUAAGAAUGAUACUAGAUGUAUUAAUUGUGGUGAGAUGGCACAUGGCCUCUGCUCAAGAAUAACUUCGUGUCGGAACUGUGGAGGGGACCAUAAAUCUAAUGCUAGAAAUUGUCCUAUUUACCAAAUAAAUCGUGAAUUUAAAAUUAUAAUGGCUUAUAAUAAUUGCUCGUAUCACGAAGCGAAACGUAUAUUAUCGGGAAAAGAACAAGUACCCAUACACUAUGAUAGAUUUGUGGAUCCUACCGCGUGGCCUUCAAUAUCAGAACGUUCGACGGUUAGAAAUAGCUCGCGAAAAGAAACAUGUACCGAACAGAAGUCGAAUUCAGAGUUUAGACCCAUCAAACAAUACAACAACAGUCAACAAGGACAAAUUAAAAGCAAUGUGGCUUAUUUAAGAGAACGGGAUAACGUAGAAAAGAGAAAGUUAAACUACAACACACAUUUCGCUCAAUUUAAUCAUAGACAAAAUGAAAUAGUUAAGGAUAAUUACGGUAUAGCUCUAAAAUCACAACAAGUUAAAGUAAGAGAUAGUAAUUAUAAAGAAAAUAUAAGCCCUGAAAUAGCUGAAAAUAUUUCAAUUAUAGAAGUAAUGUGGAAGAAUUCUAGAGAAUUCAGAGAGAUAGUUAUAGACUUGGCUGAAAGAUUUAAUUCAAAAGACAGUGAUAGUAGUAGUAAUAAUAGGCAAAUAGAUCAUUAUAACUUGAACGAACAUAUAGACGAGGAAAAAAUAAGGCAAAAUAGACAAAAAAUGAAUAAACAUUUAUUUGAACUGAGUAAAAUCAAAGAGGCUACGGCCACCUUAAAAGAAGUUGGUCAAGUAGAGAGAAUGAUAAUAAUACCCAAUUACGUUAAUUAAUGGCUAAGCUAGUUUUGUGGAAUGCUAGAGGGAUAAAAGCUAAAAAAGCGGAAAUUAGCAAUAACAUUUUAGAUUUCGAUAUAGUUGCUCUUACGGAAACAAAAACUAAUUUUAAACAAACUUUGUAUUUUACAGGAUAUAAAACUAUAAAAUCUGAUAAUCGAAAUAAUAGUGGUGGGGUGGCCCUUUUGGUAAAAAAUUGCAUUGAAUUUGAUAUUAUUAAAGAUUGGAAUGUUAGAUCGGAAAACUUUGAUAUAAUAGGUAUUAGGACAAAAAAUUUAUCAAUUAAUUUGAAUAUUAUAGUUAUCUAUAGAAAACCUGGUUCUGUUGAAGGUAUGACAACAUGGCAGGAUUUGUUGAAGUUUGAUGGGAAUGAUCAGGAUUCAAUAGUUAUGGGCGACUUUAACGCUCACCAUAGUAUGUGGAAUUGCAGAAACACAGAUCAUAAUGGAGAAAGAUUAUAUUUAUCAAUGCUUAAUAAGGGCUAUAUAUGCCUCAAUAUGAAUACAAUGUCUAGACUUAACUAUAACAACGAGUCUCCAUCGAAUUUGGAUUUAAUUUUUACAAUAACAAUUUAUCAGAUUUUAUAGAUUAUAAACAAAUAAACGAUACUUGGGGAUCGGAUCACUUUCCCAUUAGAUUGGUAAUAGAUUUAAUAUUUAUCCCAUACAAUAAACUUUCUAAUAGAAUAUCAAAAAAACUUACAGAUUGGACUCGGUACUCAAAAAUAAUUGAAGAUAAAUGGCCUAUUGAAAAAAAAAAAUUUAAUCAAUGCCAGACCGAUCCAACAGAAUUUUUUAAUUUUUACAAUAAAGUUAUUAGGGUUAUGAUAGAAUCAGUUAAUAUCGCAUCAGGGAAAAAGGGAAAUAAUACAGUAGAUGGUAAUAACAAAAAGAACGCUAACCAUAAAGGCAAUAGUAUACAACACAGUUCAAAAAAAAAGAAGUAUAAACAGCAGGUUAGAUGGUGGGAUAAAGAGUGUCAGGAUAUAUUUGAUAUCAGGAAAACAAAAUUUAAUAGAUGGAGACACACAAAAGACAAACAAGAUUUUAUAAUCUACAAAAAAUACAGAGCUUUAGCCAGGAAAACUUUCAAUCAAAAAAAGAAUGAAUGUUUCGUUAGAUUUUGUUCUAAUAUAAAUAGAUUUACAAGUUUUACAUAUGUGUGGAAUGUCAUGAGAACCUUUAAGAAUGUUAAGAAACGGAUUAAUUGGAAUAGAUGGCAAAUAAAAGAUAGAGAAACGGAAGUAUGUAACACUAUUGAGGCUUUGUCCCCGGCAUGGGUGAUGGGAGAUAGGACGGUAUCGAAAUUUAUAAUCAACGCAUCAACGUAUUACGAGCUAGAUCAAGAAUUUGAAAUGAAUGAAUUAAUUAGAGCUUUGAAUAUGGUUAGAAGAGACUCGGCUCCAGGUUUAGAUCACGUAGAUUAUUUAAUGAUUAAAUACUUACCUAAAAUUGCUCAAAAUACUUUGUUAGACAUAUAUAAUUGUAUUUGGAAGACUGGAUUUAUUCCAGAUGACUGGAAAAAAUUUCAAGUAAUCUUUAUAGAUAAAGUCGGAAAAGAAAAGGUCCGUCCUAUCGCCCUAUCUUCUUGUGUUGGGAAAAUUAUGGAACGCCUUGUAAAUGAGCGGCUUAUCUGGUGGUUGGAAAGGGAGAAGAUAUUAUCACAUACACAAAAUGGUUUCAGAAGAGGCAGAUCUUGCGCGGAAAAUUUAGUCAAAUUAUUUGCAGAUGUUAAGAGUUCCAUGCUAGUUGGUAAUUACUCCCUUGCUGGUUUUUUGGACAUUGCAUCGGCAUAUGACAAUGUGGAUUUGGAUAUCCUCUUACAGAAGCUAAAAAAUAUUAGAUGUCCGUCAGGUAUUAUGUUGUUUCUACUAAAGUGGCUUGUACCGCGCGAAACAGAGUUUGUUGUGAGUAGCCAAAAAUAUGUUAAGAAAUAUGUCGGCAGAGGACUUCCACAGGGAGCCGUUCUUAGUCCUGUCUUAUAUGCACUAUAUACCAACGAAAUCACAAAGGGUGUAACGAAUGAUAUUAAUGUGUUACAGUUUGCGGAUGACAUCGCGAUAUAUAUUAGUAGUAAUUCAAGAAUAAAUAAUAGAAUUUUAUUAGAAGUUGCGAUUGACAAAGUUAGGAAAAAUCUUGAAAUGUUAGGCUUAUCACUAGAACCAAAAAAAAACUAAUUUAGUAGAGUUUUCGAAGACUGGAUUUGAUAGAAAUCAAUACAUUAAGAUUAAGGGCACUAAGAUUAUGAAUCAACGUUCGGCAAAGUUUUUAGGUGUGUGGUUUGAUAACCAUCUCUCCUUCAGUAAACAUAUAACAGAAAUUAGAGGUAAGGUAAAUAAAGCUAAUUCUUUAUUGCGAUAUCUUGGCGGUGUAUCGAGAGGUAUAGAAGUCAAUACGUCACUUAUGUUAUACAAAAGCUUAGUAAGAUCUAUUAUGGAUUAUGGCUCUUUUGUUUAUGCCCCUAAUAAUUAUAAUUUACAACUAAAAUUAGAAAGAGGACAAUUCCUUGGAAUCAGAACAGCGUUAGGAUAUCGUAAUAGUACUCCAAACAAUGUUAUUAUGGCAGAGUCAAAAAUUAUGUAUAUUAGAGACAGAGCACUUAUGCUAGCAAAAAAUUUAUGUAUUAAAAUCUUUAAAUAUGGAGAAAACACGAUCAGGAAUAGUUUGUGUUUACUGAGGGAGAGAGAGCUAUAUGCAAAUUAUAGAAACCCGGCUACUUGUAGAAGUGUAAUUGGAAAGGCAUGGGAUCAUAUUAUGGUAAAUAGAAAGAAAGUAGGUUCACCACUAGAUACGUUUGAAUUGUGGAAUAUGUCAUAUAAACAAAUAACUGAUAGAAUAGAUUAUGAUGAGGAGAUCGGUGAAACAAUUAAAAUAUUAAAACCUAAUAAGAUUCCAUGUAACAGUAACGAUAUUAAGAGCUAUAAUUAUCAAGAUAUUAAUUUAAUUAGAGAGGUUCAACAUAAAUAUGAACUAUCGGAAAACUCAUUAAUUAUAUAUACGGAUGGAUCGAGUGGUGAACAAUGCACUUCUGUGGGUGCCGGUUUGGUUUUUGAAGAACAUGAAAUAGGCUAUUAUGUAAGUUUGCCGAAACAAUGCUCUAUAUUCUCUGCGGAAGCGUUUGCUAUUAAGACUGCCAUGGAAUUAGCUAUGAAUAAAAUUAUAGAUAGAGAUAAUGUAAUAAUUUUUUCGGAUUGUAAAUCGGUCUUACAAGCUCUUAAAAACAAUAGAUUAGAUGUAUAUCAGAAUAAGUAUAUAUUAGAAAUUAAAAGACUGCACUCUAGAUUCAAAGAAUCGACUAACAAUAAAAAAAAGAUGAUAUUCGUUUGGAUCCCAUCGCAUCGAGGUCUGACUGGUAAUGAACUCGCGGAUAUGUUGGCGAAACAAGGUGCGGAAGAGCCAGCCUCAUCUGAAAUAGAGAUACCGAUAGGUGAUCUACGAAGAUUUUAUAAAGAGGAAUCAUGGUCCCUUACUCAGGAAAAAAUCAAGAACGAAUUUAGAUAUAAAGGAAUGUUUUACUAUAAUAAUUACUAUAACAAAAAUAGUAAAAAGCCAUGGUUUAGUUCGAUGAACACUGAAAGAUAUUUUGUUACAUUAAUUAAUAGAUUAAGAGCUAAUCAUUACAAUCUAAAUGCCUCACUAGCAAGAAAAGAUUAUAUACCGGAUUCAAGAUGUGAAUGUGGAGCUGAGUCAGAAGAUUUUGAUCACCUGGUAUGGCAGUGCCACAGGUAUGACGCGGAUAGAAUUGAUAUGGGCAUCCAGUUGUAUCGUCGUAACAUAGAUGGUGUGGAGAGCAUUACAGAGCUUAUUAGAAAAGAGAAUUGGAAGAAAUUGUACGUGAUAUACAAGUUUGUCAAGAAAACAGGAAGAGUAAUUUAAAACUGAGUCUCGAGAGCGAGCAAUAUUAUUAUAACACCUUACGACGUCAUAUGACCACAUAUCCCCGUGGGAGGUCGAGCACGUCUGGUUUUCGUCUUAGGACGUAAACUAACCUCCAAAAACCCCCAUGUUAAAACUAUUGAGUUAAUCAAAGUUUACGUCACGAAAUACUUUGUAUUUUUAUCCUGAUAUACCGUGCCCUGAAACAUUUUGUAAGCAUCGAUAAUAAUGGAUUCUGACAAAAAGUGGCGAUCAACAUUAGAAGAAGGAGAAAGGGAAAGAUUAAGAAUGAUAAAAGAGAAAUGGCGUUUUGAACAAGAAUUGAAUGAACGAAAGUUAAGAAUGAUUGAAGAAUAUGAAAGAAAACGAGCAGAAGCACUGAAAAAUUGCAAUCAACAGCCUGGAUUACAACAUAGGAAUGAUACUUCACAACAAAGUGGAAUUAAAUUCCUUGACUAUGAGCAUUUUAAUGAAUGGAAAUCUAACAAAUCAGUGAUCAACAACAGUUCAGAAGAUAUAAUUGACAAGGAAGAACUAUAUAAAAUAAAAAUAACUAUUAAAGGAAGUAAUCUAUCAAUGAAGGAUCAAAGUACAUCAAAAAAGAUUGAACGAGAUAUUAUAAAUGCAAACGAAAUAAUUCUCCCUCGAAGACCAAAUGAAGGUUCUUGCCCAUUGUUCAAAGGAAACGAAAUCAAGAUAGCUGAGGAAACAAUUACGAGACUUUCACAAGAUGAAUUGGUUUCAGAGAAGUAUAUGUCAAAUGAAACUCAAGACUAUUGAUAAAAUUGUCAAAGAGAUCCAAGACAUCCAAGACUGUUUUGCUUUUGGAAAGAAGGAAAAAGCAACUGGCUGAAUACAAGAAGACAGUGAAGAAGACUCCAAAAACUAAAACUAAGAAAACUGAAAAAACUGAGAAAGAUACUACGAAAACCGCUGCUCCUGUCAAGCAGCCAGUUAAUAAGUAAAACAACAAUUAAAUAAUAUCAACACUGUUGUUGACUCAUAUUUUUUAUCUCUGUCUUCAAAUAAAAGGCGAAAAAUUAAAA